rnacentral:lncRNA from 10 species
UUUCUCAAAACAGCUAUUCUGAAUUCUUUGUCUAAAAGGUCAUAAAUCUCUGUUUCUCCAAGAAUAGUCCAUGGUGCCUUAUUUAGUUCAUUUGGUGAGGUCAUAUUUUCCAGAUGGUCUCGAUACUUGCAGAUGUUCGUCUGUAUUUGGGCAUUGAACACUUAGGUAUUUACUGCUGUCUUCUCAGUCUGGACACAUUUGUACCCAUCCAUCUUGGGAAGGCUUUCUCAAUAUUUGAAAGGACUUGGAUGUUAUUAUCAAAGCUUAGUCUGCUUUAGAGGGCACUCCAAGACCAGUAAUGCUGUGGUUCUUGGACACUCAUAGAGAUACUGCCUUGAUGGCCCUGAACAAGAUCAGGGAGAAUUCUCCGGAUUACAAGGGAGAGACUCUAGUUCUCUUCUCUUACUUUCUCUGAAACAAACAGAGUCUCUCUCUGUGUCUGUUUUGGGCCACCUAGAGCUGGGGGUGGAGUGACAUUAGCACCCCUGUGGCCACCAUGACCCUGUGACUAUGCUGGGUCACACUGGAAGCCAACACAGCACUGGGUCUCACCCACGGCCUUCUGUAACCACCCCCUGGCUACUCCCUAUGUUCACUCAAGACUCUGAGGCUCUGCAAUCAGCAGAUGGCAAAGCUAGCCAGGCCUGUGUCCUUCCCUUCAGAGUAGUGAGUUUUCCCAGGACCCAGGCAGGUCCACAGCUGCCAUCCUGAAACCAAAACUAGAAUAAAAAACCUUCAAAGUCUACCUAGUGUGCUACUGUACUAUAGCUGAGUUGGCACUCAAACCACAAGACACAGUCUUUCCCAUUCUUCCUUUCUCUUUCCCAAGG